rnacentral:rRNA from 1 species
GAUGAACGCCGGCGGCGUGCCUAACACAUGCCAGUCGAGCGAACGGACGAGAAGCUUGCUUCUCUGAUGUUAGCGGCGGACGGGUGAGUAACACGUGGAUAACCUACCUAUAAGACUGGGAUAACUUCGGGAAACCGGAGCUAAUACCGGAUAAUAUUUUGAACCGCAUGGUUCAAAAGUGAAAGACGGUCUUGCUGUCACUUAUAGAUGGAUCCGCGCUGCAUUAGCUAGUUGGUAAGGUAACGGCUUACCAAGGCAACGAUGCAUAGCCGACCUGAGAGGGUGAUCGGCCACACUGGAACUGAGACACGGUCCAGACUCCUACGGGAGGCAGCAGUAGGGAAUCUUCCGCAAUGGGCGAAAGCCUGACGGAGCAACGCCGCGUGAGUGAUGAAGGUCUUCGGAUCGUAAAACUCUGUUAUUAGGGAAGAACAUAUGUGUAAGUAACUGUGCACAUCUUGACGGUACCUAAUCAGAAAGCCACGGCUAACUACGUG